GAUUAAGUUAUUAAGGGCGCACGGUGGAUGCCUUGGCACUAGAAGCCGAUGAAGGACGUUACUAACGACGAUAUGCUUUGGGGAGCUGUAAGUAAGCUUUGAUCCAGAGAUUUCCGAAUGGGGAAACCCAGCAUGAGUUAUGUCAUGUUAUCGAUAUGUGAAUACAUAGCAUAUCAGAAGGCACACCCGGAGAACUGAAACAUCUUAGUACCCGGAGGAAGAGAAAGAAAAUUCGAUUCCCUUAGUAGCGGCGAGCGAAACGGGAAGAGCCCAAACCAACAAGCUUGCUUGUUGGGGUUGUAGGACACUCUAUACGGAGUUACAAAGGACGACAUUAGACGAAUCAUCUGGAAAGAUGAAUCAAAGAAGGUAAUAAUCCUGUAGUCGAAAAUGUUGUCUCUCUUGAGUGGAUCCUGAGUACGACGGAGCACGUGAAAUUCCGUCGGAAUCUGGGAGGACCAUCUCCUAAGGCUAAAUACUCUCUAGUGACCGAUAGUGAACCAGUACCGUGAGGGAAAGGUGAAAAGCACCCCGGAAGGGGAGUGAAAUAGAACCUGAAACCGUGUGCUUACAAGUAGUCAGAGCCCGUUAAUGGGUGAUGGCGUGCCUUUUGUAGAAUGAACCGGCGAGUUACGAUUUGAUGCAAGGUUAAGCAGUAAAUGUGGAGCCGUAGCGAAAGCGAGUCUGAAUAGGGCGUUUAGUAUUUGGUCGUAGACCCGAAACCAGGUGAUCUACCCUUGGUCAGGUUGAAGUUCAGGUAACACUGAAUGGAGGACCGAACCGACUUACGUUGAAAAGUGAGCGGAUGAACUGAGGGUAGCGGAGAAAUUCCAAUCGAACCUGGAGAUAGCUGGUUCUCUCCGAAAUAGCUUUAGGGCUAGCCUCAAGUGAUGAUUAUUGGAGGUAGAGCACUGUUUGGACGAGGGGCCCCUCUCGGGUUACCGAAUUCAGACAAACUCCGAAUGCCAAUUAAUUUAACUUGGGAGUCAGAACAUGGGUGAUAAGGUCCGUGUUCGAAAGGGAAACAGCCCAGACCACCAGCUAAGGUCCCAAAAUAUAUGUUAAGUGGAAAAGGAUGUGGCGUUGCCCAGACAACUAGGAUGUUGGCUUAGAAGCAGCCAUCAUUUAAAGAGUGCGUAAUAGCUCACUAGUCGAGUGACACUGCGCCGAAAAUGUACCGGGGCUAAACAUAUUACCGAAGCUGUGGAUUGUCCUUUGGACAAUGGUAGGAGAGCGUUCUAAGGGCGUUGAAGCAUGAUCGUAAGGACAUGUGGAGCGCUUAGAAGUGAGAAUGCCGGUGUGAGUAGCGAAAGACGGGUGAGAAUCCCGUCCACCGAUUGACUAAGGUUUCCAGAGGAAGGCUCGUCCGCUCUGGGUUAGUCGGGUCCUAAGCUGAGGCCGACAGGCGUAGGCGAUGGAUAACAGGUUGAUAUUCCUGUACCACCUAUAAUCGUUUUAAUCGAUGGGGGGGACGCAGUAGGAUAGGCGAAGCGUGCGAUUGGAUUGCACGUCUAAGCAGUAAGGCUGAGUAUUAGGCAAAUCCGGUACUCAUUAAGGCUGAGCUGUGAUGGGGAGAAGACAUUGUGUCUUCGAGUCGUUGAUUUCACACUGCCGAGAAAAGCCUCUAGAUAGAAAAUAGGUGCCCGUACCGCAAACCGACACAGGUAGUCAAGAUGAGAAUUCUAAGGUGAGCGAGCGAACUCUCGUUAAGGAACUCGGCAAAAUGACCCCGUAACUUCGGGAGAAGGGGUGCUCUUUAGGGUUAACGCCCAGAAGAGCCGCAGUGAAUAGGCCCAAGCGACUGUUUAUCAAAAACACAGGUCUCUGCUAAACCGUAAGGUGAUGUAUAGGGGCUGACGCCUGCCCGGUGCUGGAAGGUUAAGAGGAGUGGUUAGCUUCUGCGAAGCUACGAAUCGAAGCCCCAGUAAACGGCGGCCGUAACUAUAACGGUCCUAAGGUAGCGAAAUUCCUUGUCGGGUAAGUUCCGACCCGCACGAAAGGCGUAACGAUUUGGGCACUGUCUCAACGAGAGACUCGGUGAAAUCAUAGUACCUGUGAAGAUGCAGGUUACCCGCGACAGGACGGAAAGACCCCGUGGAGCUUUACUGUAGCCUGAUAUUGAAAUUCGGCACAGCUUGUACAGGAUAGGUAGGAGCCUUUGAAACGUGAGCGCUAGCUUACGUGGAGGCGCUGGUGGGAUACUACCCUAGCUGUGUUGGCUUUCUAACCCGCACCACUUAUCGUGGUGGGAGACAGUGUCAGGCGGGCAGUUUGACUGGGGCGGUCGCCUCCUAAAAGGUAACGGAGGCGCUCAAAGGUUCCCUCAGAAUGGUUGGAAAUCAUUCAUAGAGUGUAAAGGCAUAAGGGAGCUUGACUGCGAGACCUACAAGUCGAGCAGGGUCGAAAGACGGACUUAGUGAUCCGGUGGUUCCGCAUGGAAGGGCCAUCGCUCAACGGAUAAAAGCUACCCCGGGGAUAACAGGCUUAUCUCCCCCAAGAGUUCACAUCGACGGGGAGGUUUGGCACCUCGAUGUCGGCUCAUCGCAUCCUGGGGCUGUAGUCGGUCCCAAGGGUUGGGCUGUUCGCCCAUUAAAGCGGUACGCGAGCUGGGUUCAGAACGUCGUGAGACAGUUCGGUCCCUAUCCGUCGUGGGCGUAGGAAAUUUGAGAGGAGCUGUCCUUAGUACGAGAGGACCGGGAUGGACAUACCUCUGGUGUACCAGUUGUCGUGCCAACGGCAUAGCUGGGUAGCUAUGUGUGGACGGGAUAAGUGCUGAAAGCAUCUAAGCAUGAAGCCCCCCUCAAGAUGAGAUUUCCCAACUUCGGUUAUAAGAUC
rnacentral:rRNA from 1 species